rnacentral:lncRNA from 1 species
AGCCAUGUGUGCCAUAAUUUGUUGUUUUCUUGCUAAAAAGGUUUCUUGUUUAGUAAUAGCGGCUGGGCUAGGUGUUUUGCAAUAUUGUGGAUUGUUUACAAAGAACUGGUCUACUGCUAUUUGGUCGCAACCUUGGAGAUUAGUUUUAGUCCACCAUUUAGUUUUGUAUUUUCUGACUAACAUGGGAAUUUGGAAAUUGUCAAUAAUUUGGUCUUUAAUAUGGUAUUCGGUCAUGAAAAUCCAAGGUAUAUGAAAGUAAUGAGAAUAAAUAAGCCACUGGGGAGAGCAAAUAAUGGUUUCUG